rnacentral:lncRNA from 1 species
AUGGGCUUCUGGCAAUAUUAUGUCUGUUUCAGGUUUUUAGGUGCACUGCACAGUUUGGAAACUGAGUUAUACGGUGGCCUAAGCCAUAGACAAGCACUGCCGAGAUUAUAUACCCUGAUGUCCACCCUUGAACUAUGGUAUACAUGCUCUGCAUAUCAACACAGAGAAAUUAAUUAAUUAAAAAUCCACAACACUAUUGCCUGGAAAAAAAUUCUAGCCACGAAAUUCAUGCAAUAGAGACAAGAUAAAGCAAGUAAAAGAUGUUUUCCUCGCUUCAGAGAGAAGAAGAUAAAACAGGAAGUAAAGUGAUAGAAGAAACAUCAUAUAAUAAUGGGAGAAAGGUCUGACACAGUGACCCACAUUAUGAAUAAAACAACACACAUUUAAAAUAAAGGAAGUGGU